CACCUCGGUGUGUACUCUGCAUCUGGUCUGAUGUGUUUUGGUGAAGUGUGAGCUGGGGUGUGAGUGCUGUGACUCAGAAACAGAGUGGCAUAAUGCUUUUAGAGGACGCGCUGGGACUGGGCCGCAGAUGUGAACCCAGGCGUUCGUCCUCCAGCGGUGCUCCCUGAAGCUCCACAGAGGCCGACACUGGCCGGAAGCAGAGCUGCGCAUGAUGUGCAAAGACAGAUGCUGUUGAUGAAGCCUGAAGCAAAAGAUGGAUUUGGAGGAGCCGGAGUGACAUGAAGAGCAGAAAGAGACGGGGUCUGGGCAGGUAAAAAACACUAUCUCAAGGGCAACUCCUUCACAUCCGCUCCGUCUGUCAGCACAGAUCUUCGUCUCGUGAGUUUUCCACAGCGAGUGGCACUCUGCAUUUUCCUGAAGGUUACUUUUGACUCUGAUCUCACCUGAAACCUCCCGUCUACCACUUAUUCUUAGCAUUUGUGGAAAAAGUCCUUUAAUGUUGCUCUGCUGAUACUUUAUCUUCUUCAGAAAUGAUUAAUGUUUUAGAAAAAUGCAGAAGUGCAAGAUCCCUGUUCUUAAGGCUUCCAUAAAUGGGACUAAAUAAAAUAUUACUCAUUCUUUAAUGGAUUUUUUUGUCCAUUUCAGUGCACAUUAGAUCAAAAAUCAGCAUACCAAAAACAAAAUAAUACAAAUUGUUGAUGUGUUACUUUACUUGAAGUUUCUUCUAGAGGUAACUUGAAAUUAGAACAUUUAACUUUUGAGUGUUAUGUUUUAUAGACUCCACAUUAUUAGAACCCACUGUUGAUAAACAUGGAUAGACAUGUU
rnacentral:lncRNA from 1 species